rnacentral:tRNA from 1 species
GCCUGAGUGGUGAAAUCGGUAGACACACAGGACUUAAAAUCCUGCGAAGUUAAACCUUCGUGCCGGUUCGAGUCCGGCCUCAGGCACCA